UGCCCUCACCCCAUCUCAAAUGGGAUAUCAAAGUUCUACACGCACAGAAAUGUUGUGAGUUUGAAUUUACAAACAGGUGUAUUGAAACCUACUAUCCUGUUUUAUUGACUUAACAAACGUAUUUUAUCGGUUCAAUAAACAUAUUUUAGCAAAAAAACCAUGAUGUUAUUCCGUUUGACAAUCUGGUUUAGCAUUUGGAAGUUUCUUUUCAUAAACGUGUAGACAAAAUUUAUAGUGUAACAUCUCUUGAAAUAUUCUGCUUUCAAGAUGGCGAAGCCAAAAAUAAACAUUAAAAAGAUCGAGAAUUCCUUGUACAUAUAAUUAUUAACCUUGCAGUCCGAGGUUAUCGAAGCAUAUAAUUUACAGAGUGGAAUUGAUUUUGGGUAAAAUUUGAAAAAAAAAAACAUCAAAAACUUGUGAUCUUUGAAGGCAUUUCAAAUCAUCUAUUGGCUGGAACAUGAUUUUUGGACUCUUUCUCUACAGAUGGGUGGCCAGAUCAACCAGGGAUUCUGAAGUUGGAAACAAAAGCAAUGUUUCCCGCGGAUGAUCCGGAGCUGAUAGCGGAAUGUUCUAUCGCUAGAGAUCAGUGUAGCCUUGAGUGUAGCAUCAAGCGGCGAUAGCUACAAUGCAACGAAAUUUAUAUUUUGCACACAGAAGGUUUGACUAAAAAUAUAGAAAA